GACGACCGGGCCCGCCGGGGGCGGGGCGACGGUCUGCAGCGCCGUGGUGACGACACCGGCCGGCUCCGCCGCCGGUCCGUCGUUG
rnacentral:tRNA from 1 species